UCCUUGGGGGACUAGUGGUUAGACCACAGCACUCUCACCACUGUAGCCUAGGUUCAAUUCCCAGCUAGGUAA
rnacentral:tRNA from 1 species